GACGAACGCUGGCGGCGUGCCUAAUACAUGCAAGUAGAACGCAGUUGCGAACGGGUGAGUAACGCGUAGGUAACUGCCUCAUAGCGGGGGAUAACUACUGGAAACGGUAGCUAAUACCGCAUACCAUCAGAUGUGCCCAGAUGGGGUUAGCUAGUUGGUGGGGUAACGGCUCACCAAGGCGACGAGCCCUAGCUGGUCUGAGAGGAUGAUCGGCCACACUGGGACUGAGAAACUGCCCAGACUCCUACGGGAGGCAGCAGUAGGGAAUCUUCGGCAAUGGACGGAAGUCUGACCGAGCAACGCGGCGGGAGUGAAGAAGGUUUUCGGAUCGUAAAGCUCUGUUGUUAGAGAAGCGGUAACUAACCAGAAAGGGACGGCUAACUACGUGCCAGCCGCCGCGGUAAUUC
rnacentral:rRNA from 1 species